ACACGUGAGCAACCUGCCCUGAACUCUGGGAUAAGCGCUGGAAACGGCGUCUAAUACUGGAUAUGAGCUGCGGAGGCAUCUUCGUGGUUGGAAAGAUUUUUCGGUUUGGGAUGGGCUCGCGGCCUAUCAGCUUGUUGGUGAGGUAAUGGCUCACCAAGGCGUCGACGGGUAGCCGGCCUGAGAGGGUGACCGGCCACACUGGGACUGAGACACGGCCCAGACUCCUACGGGAGGCAGCAGUGGGGAAUAUUGCACAAUGGGCGGAAGCCUGAUGCAGCAACGCCGCGUGAGGGAUGACGGCCUUCGGGUUGUAAACCUCUUUUAGCAGGGAAGAAGCGAAAGUGACGGUACCUGCAGAAAAAGCGCCGGCUAACUACGUGCCAGCAGCCGCGGUAAUACGUAGGGCGCAAGCGUUAUCCGGAAUUAUUGGGCGUAAAGAGCUCGUAGGCGGUUUGUCGCGUCUGCUGUGAAAACCCGAGGCUCAACCUCGGGCCUGCGGUGGGUACGGGCAGACUAGAGUGCGGUAGGGGAGAUUGGAAUUCCUGGUGUAGCGGUGGAAUGCGCAGAUAUCAGGAGGAACACCGAUGGCGAAGGCAGAUCUCUGGGCCGUAACUGACGCUGAGGAGCGAAAGGGUGGGGAGCAAACAGGCUUAGAUACCCUGGUAGUCCACCCCGUAAACGUUGGGAACUAGUUGUGGGGUCCAUUCCACGGAUUCCGUGACGCAGCUAACGCAUUAAGUUCCCCGCCUGGGGAGUACGGCCGCAAGGCUAAAACUCAAAGGAAUUGACGGGGACCCGCACAAGCGGCGGAGCAUGCGGAUUAAUUCGAUGCAACGCGAAGAACCUUACCAAGGCUUGACAUACACGAGAACGCUGCAGAAAUGUAGAACUCUUUGGACACUCGUGAACAGGUGGUGCAUGGUUGUCGUCAGCUCGUGUCGUGAGAUGUUGGGUUAAGUCCCGCAACGAGCGCAACCCUCGUUCU
rnacentral:rRNA from 1 species